rnacentral:rRNA from 1 species
UACGUAGGUGGCAAGCGUUGUCCGGAUUUAUUGGGUUUAAAGGGUGCGUAGGCGGUCCUAUAAGUCAGGGGUGAAAUAUCCCGGCUUAACCGGGAGGGUGGCAUUGAUACUGCAGGACUUGAGUAAAGUUGAGGUUGGCGGAAUUGACGGUGUAGCGGUGAAAUGCUUAGAUAUCGUCAAGAACACCUAUUGCGAAGGCAGCUAACUAAGCUUUAACUGACGCUGAGGCACGAAAGUGUGGGGAUCAAACAGG